rnacentral:lncRNA from 1 species
CGUGCCGUAAGGGGGAGGGAGUAACUGGAGCCGACCCGCAUGGCGAACUAACAGCUAAUGAGCGGCGAUCCCACACUAAGAUCAAAGCUGCAACAAAUGAAAGAAAACCAGAGGCUAUUUGGAUUUCUUGUACCCGAGACUCCUCUACUCCCCCAUCUAAAGACACUUGCUUAUGUUUCCUUCCUCCUACAAUUCUCAUUUGGGAUACCCACGAAAACCAAACUGAGAGGAAUUACCACUCCUGGCGAAGGGGUGGCUACCAUUAGCAGCUGGACGCCCGGUGUGGACUUACAAACUGUCCCCGUGUAUGCUGUCAAGUGUAUGCUGUCCUCCUGACGCUGGUUGAUACCGAGCGAAAAGCAUAAGAAUCUGCCAUAAAGGUAUUUAAAAUAAAUAUAUUACUUGAAAUAAUAUAGGAGCAGGAGGAGCAGGAGGAAGAGCAGAGGAAAGAUCAGGAGGGAGUGUCAAGUUAAAGAAGGAGUGAAAAGAAAUAAGAGAAGAACAGAUUAGAUGUAUUAAUUUAUAAAGGAGGGGAAAGAAGAGGGGGAGAAAGAGGAAGGAAAAGAAAGGAGGGAAGGAGUAAGGAUAUAUCACAGAAACGGAACGUAAAGAGCAAGAGCGGAGGGAUACGAUUUUUGCGUCAUUGCUCCCCUCGGAUAUAUAUUUUUAAUAUCUAAAUAAUCCCAAUCAUAUCUGCUCUUCAUAUAAAUCUCUUGGGGCCGAAAUUGACAUAUAAAGACUCAUAAUACAGAGAGCAAGUUUGUAAAGGGAAGAGAGAGACGAAUUCCUGAUGCAAAGAAGCUAAGGAAUCUGAAAGUUUAAAGAUAAAGGAGAACCAUAAAAGUAAAUUAAAGAAAUACGGUAAAAAAGAGAAAUUAAAGCAUUCAAACUGUAUAAAGGGCUCCAAAACAAACUAAGGAGAAGAGAGGUACUUCCUUUUUUUUUUAUUAUUAUUUUUUUUCUUUCUCUCCUUUCUAAAUGGCAUCUAAACGAUUACAAGAAUCUAAGGUCGCACAAAAAACGGAAAAAAAAUCCGCUAAGUAAGAAAAGAGACUCUCCAACUUUUUCUCCCCACAAAAGACGCAAGAUCCUAUUGAUGAGUCAUUGUUAGACUCCUCAACAGCAAUGGCACCCCCCCCUCCCCGCUGUAGAAUCAACUGGUAUUACAAUAGAGGUAAUAAAAACCCUCUUUGAUGACACUUUGAAAGAAAUAAAAAAAGAGAUUCAAGAAAACUCUAUUGACCUCAAAAAUGAUAUCUCCCAGGUACUAACCCGAAUUCAAACAAUUGAGGAUAAGGAACAACAUAUAGAAUUCCAAAUUCAAAUUCUUAAAGAUACACACAAAGAAACAGAAAGGAAAAUAAUCCAACUUGAGACUAAGAUAGCCGAUUUCGAAGAUAGAGCUUGAAGAACAAAUUUAAAAUUUAGAAAUAUUCCUGAAACCAUUACAAAUGAUAAACUGAGAGAUUUUCUAAAUGAGUUUUUUUUUUUUUUAUUUCACUUAACUUGUCAUUAGAUUCUCAUUAAUUAAAAGUGGAUCAAUGUCAUAGCGUCUUUAAACCAAACUAAUGUUAAAAACAAUUUUCCAAGAGGCGUAAUAGUCUCUUUUCACUCAUUUCAAACUAAAAAUCAAAUUAUGUUAGCACUAAAGAAGAAUAGAUCGGCAGAAGAAAAAUUCAAAGAAAUAUUUGCCCUUCCAGAUAUCUCAUACUUCACAAGAGCUAAAAGAAGAGAGUUUUCACCAAUAUUUCAAAUUUUAAAUACACAUAAUUUAAGAUUCAGAUGGAGACACCCAGCAUCACUUCAGAUUUUUUACCACAAUGAAUGGGUCACAUUUUCAACUCUUGAAACGGCUAAUGAAUGGCUGAGACAAUCUAGUCUCAAUUUAAAAAAUGGGUCAUUGGAGAUAAGGGGAAAAGAGAAUUAUAAAAAUUAUAAAUGUGUUGUCUUUUUUUUUUUUUUACAGUUUAUAAAGAAGAGAUCACAAAAUGGAUAUAAACUAAGAUCUAUAAAGAAGAUCCAACGAAGGAGUGAAUAUAAGAGAAAACAAGAUGAUGAAUGAAAGAAGUAGAAAAAAGUCCUUGAAAGAAAAGAUUUUUUUUUUCUCUGAAUGGUACUAUCUUUAAAAUGAGAGAAUCAUAAAGUGUAAAAAGGGGAAUCAAGAAAUGGAACAAAUUCAAUGUAAUCAUUUUUUUUCUUAAGAUUCACGUUUGAAAACUAUUGUAAUAUUUAAAUAUGAUUAUUUGUAUAUUUCACAGAAUGUUAAGAUACAGCCUUUGGAAUAGGCUGAAUGUAUGGUUUAUGAAUUCAUUCUCCUGAACACAUUUAACGUAGGUUUAAGACUAAGGAAAAUAAUAAAUAACAAAUUUAAAGUAAUAAAAAUAGAGAUAUUAGGAAACACAAAAGGGUGAUUAGAAAGGGAAAAAGGAUAAUUUACAUAAAAAUUGUAUCAUAUUUAUGGUAUAACUUACAGAGACCACAGACAUAUUGUUAAUAAAUUAAAUUGGAAUGACACUUUAUAUAAAUAUUUAAUACACCAAAUCUUAAUCACAAUUUUGGUUCCCUAAGUAUAACACGGAGAAUAAACAAAAAAAAGAAAAAAAUGCCAUUCUACCUGUGUAUGAUUUGCUGAGAAGAUUAUAGUCUUAAAAAGUAACUUUUAAUAAAUAAACCUAAAAAAAAAAAAAAUUAUAU